rnacentral:piRNA from 1 species
UACUCACUCAUAAACCUUGCCUACUGGCCGC